GCCAGGUGUGGUGGCACACACCUAUAGUCCCAGCUACUUGGGAGGCUGAGACAGGAGGAUCACUUGAGCCCAGGAAUUCGAGGCUGCAGUGAGCUAUGAUUAUAACACUGCACUCCAGCCUGGGCAACAGAGUGAGACCCUGUCUCUG
rnacentral:SRP_RNA from 1 species